GACGAACGCUGGCGGCGUGCUUAACACAUGCAAGUCGAACGGAAAGGCCCUGCUUUUGUGGGGUGCUCGAGUGGCGAACGGGUGAGUAACACGUGAGUAACCUGCCCUUGACUUUGGGAUAACUUCAGGAAACUGGGGCUAAUACCGGAUAGGAGCUCCUGCUGCAUGGUGGGGGUUGGAAAGUUUCGGCGGUUGGGGAUGGACUCGCGGCUUAUCAGCUUGUUGGUGGGGUAGUGGCUUACCAAGGCUUUGACGGGUAGCCGGCCUGAGAGGGUGACCGGCCACAUUGGGACUGAGAUACGGCACAGACUCCUACGGGGGGCAGGAGUGGGGAAUAUUGCACAAUGGGCGGAAGCCUGAUGCAGCAACGCCGCGUGCGGGAUGACGGCCUUCGGGUUGUAAACCGCUUUCGCCUGUGACGAAGCGUGAGUGACGGUAAUGGGGAAAGAAGCACCGGCUAACUACGG
rnacentral:rRNA from 1 species